rnacentral:tRNA from 1 species
GGGUCGUUAGCUCAGUUGGUAGAGCACCGGACUUUUAAUCCGUUGGUCGCGCGUUCGAGCCGCGCACGACCCA